GCCCGUUUUCAGCGUUGUGCACAAUUUCUGGGGAUUUGACAUUCAGAAUCUCUUGUCUUUGCAAACUUGAGCCACGAGUUUCACCACAGCCGAGAGUGCGUUGAAGGUAUCCAGCAUGAGUGCAAAGUGUCUUCUAGCUCUGGCCCUUGUGGCGGCUCUGGUCGCUUUCGUCAGCCCGUUCUACAUCAACGAGGACUUGGACGACGACGAGGACGAAGGAGGUGCCGUGGAGGAGCUGGAGGCGCAGGCCUUGCCGCUGUUGCUGCAGAAGAGGGGCAGAGGAGUUCGCUACAUCAGAUGUUUUGAUGAUUUUACUGGCGAGCCCUGCCAAUGCGACAAGUCAAGAUCCCGUAGCAAAUUUGGCCGAUGCCAGAAGUAGACAGAUCCUGCUGGGCAACAGCCAAAUAAUGGUUCACCUGUUGGUUAGCAGCCAGCUACUGGUUCACAUGUUGGUCAUACUCCCAGUAAAGAGCGGAUCGUCCGGUUUCAAGAACAGAUAUCAUGUAAAGCGUACUAAGCUCUAGCGAUUUUUGUUGUCCAUUUGUUAGACUUGUGAAGAUAGUGUAGCCAAAACGCGGCCUCGAUAUCGAACAGAAAUGUUUUGGACACGUCUUUGAUAUACUCAUUGCUACAGUUUGAAGCAAUUGUUAAUGUGUAGUUUGCAUUUACUGUAAGGGGUCGUCUUCAUACACACACCUGUUCACAUGUGUGCGGGAUUUGCCUGCAUUUUAGAUCCCCCACCACUCACUCAUUCACCACCACGAAUAAACAUUCCACAUUCCUCCAUAGGCGUUGUGUACUAUAGUCGCAGCAGGAAAAUUAAAACAAACAGUGGGUGAAUCGAGGAAUAGUGUGUAAUUAAUUUAGCAAGAGAGUGUUUCCAAGUAUUUAUUUAGUAUGAGAAAUUACAAGGAUUACAUGGGCACUUAUUCGAUUCUUUGCUCUUAAUGUGCACGCUGACUUGCAACAACUCCAUACGCAUGGUUUACGCAAUAUUACAAACACCCAAAUUACAAAUAGGUGCAUGAUUACUUUAUGAACGAUCCAUGCAAAGGGUAAGCCUGCUUGGCUGAUAUCUUUUCAUUCGGUUAAGCGCCCUCUAUCCUAUGAUAAAAGCACACUGGUACCCUUGUGUAAUGUAUGCAGUCGCGAAUUAUUGUAGGAACGUUUGAGGGCGUAGUGUCAUGGAAGAUCUCCAUGAACUUCAACCAGCAUCUGUAAGGUUUACCCCACUGCUUAUAGUAAGGUAUUACCAAGUGUCAUCAGAAUUUUAAAAAAGAAAAAAACAAAAACAAAAACAAAGUUGAAUGUUAACGUCCUAAAAAUAAUUGUUAACCUGGUGCAAAUUGUUUGCCACGUUAAAAGAAGUGUCAAGUAAAACCAUAUUUAUUUAGUGAUUGCCAGGAAUUUGUCAUGAUGCAAUGAUGUAAAAAGCUCAAUCUUAUUUUAAAAGCUUGAAGCUGACGGAAGAGUGUUAAUCCCGUUUAACAGAGGCAUAUUUUUGACUUGAAAAUAUCACCUUCUUUCCUCAUGAAUUUGUUCUGAAUGCUUUUAAAAAUUAAAAAAAAAAGAGAUUCUACUGCAAAAAACCUGA
rnacentral:lncRNA from 1 species